GAAGUUGGUGGUUUGUGUCUGGGACUUUCGAUUUUCGCUUCCCCUCUCUCUCUCAUUCGCUCGCUGUCCAUCUUCGCCUUGUUAAUUACCCUGCCUGGGUCGCGAGAAGGUCGGUCUGCCCGCCGUCCUCUGCAUCUGCGCUCUGUCCUUACUCCUUCCUCGCCGGCCUCCUCCGAUCAUCCGCUCAGAUUGACUCCGUGCGCCUAACUCUUCGGAGUGCCGGCGAUGCCCAGCAGGGAAACUGGUGAACGAACUCAAUCUGUGAUGCCUUUCCAAAUUUUGAACUGGAGACCUCAUGUACUUUCCUAAUUUUGUCAUCGAAGAGCAAUGCCAGACAUUAGUAAAGAAGGCUAAAUCUAGGCUUACGCCAUCAACAUUAUCUUUAUGGAAGGGAGAAACCAAGGACAGUACUAAAGGAUAAGAACAAGGCAUUUAAUGUCCUUAGGUACAAGAUAAGGUAGAGGUUUGCUUGUCGCUAUGAUGCAUUCAACUCUGCUGAAUAUGAGCUACAAAAAAGUCAAAGAUUUGUCACAUUGGAGGAAGUUAGAGCAAUGGACCAGGGAAUUAGUAUUCACAAACUUUAUGGUUUCGAUGAUAGCAGUAUUUAAAUACUAUCUGUAUUCUGAUUUACGCUCAUGUCAAAUCAAAUCACAUACAAGAGAAUUCUCAUCACGGCAGCUGCCCUGCGCUCAAGGGAGAGAAAUGGGCUGCAACAAACUGGAUGAGAGAUAAUAUUGAUAAGUAAAUAAGGUUGUGAUUCCGGGAGUAAUGGAGGUGUAAUAGUUAUGUUAAGAUGGAGAUCAAAAUCCCGGUGGUCAGUCGGACGACCGACUCAACUUGGUCUCGCCAACCUGAUGUCCAACGCAUUGGUAGUCAAGCACCUGUCACAUACUCGGAUUAAAUUAAUAAAUUUUACUCAACUGAUCCCCUUAACUUACAUUAAGGUAGUAUAGUAAAAGAUCGGAUCAUUUCUCAUGUGGAACUAAUGACAAGGUAUUUGUUUUCAGAUAAAAUCAAACUAGGGAUUUGUUUUUGGGGAUUUCUAUAUCUAAUGCAACAAAGGAAAUUCUAACUAAUAAACAACGAUAAACCUAUAGUACAGUGUCACUCUACAGUAUACACUAUGUAUAACAUCAUCAAUAGAAAUAAUAUGAGAGAAAUAAAACUAAAAUCCUAUCUAACUAUCGAAGGCAAACUUGCGCCGCAUUAUCACCCUACGACAAAAGAAUAUCUAUCAAUAUACAUAACAUAAAAACAUAACAAAUAGCUCAAACAUGUAUAAGGGGAAAAUAAUAAUAAAACAAAUGCAAUUAAACUAAACAAACUUAAUAGCUAUUAAACAAAACCUAGGUACGCAUAAUUGAUAAAUCUACACCACAUUGUCACCUUAUAAUACAAGUUUAACAAUCAUGCAUAAAACCAAACAAAGUUAACAAAACCUAACAAAGUGCAAGACUAAACAAUCUAACAUUCAUCAUAAGAUAACUACAAAAUCAAACGUGAAAAUGAACUAAGUUAAUCAAACUCUCUCUUCCACUAUCAACUCCAAUCCGACUACUCGUCGCCGUCGCACGAAGAGCCCCAAUUUGAACCACCAGAGCCGGUGGACAGCAGCAAGACACCAGCGGUGCUGGCAUCAUCAACAACAACAACAAUGAACGAGGCUUCCACCGAAGAACCCCUCCAAUGGAAGUUGACUAGAAGAAUUGAACUGCUGCUGGUCUCCGCAAAUCUGUGCUUCUACUCACGCGAACCACGGCAAGUUUGGCCAGAUAGGAUGAAACCGAAGAUGGAGACAGCACUGUGGACACUCACGGCUGAAGUUGGAUGAGUUGCGAGCACCCCUUCAGAACAUCCCUGCCAUCGCAACCACUCAAGCAGGGAACUCGAUGACGGACUGUGAAGGGACUGGAACUGUGUCGCCAGAGUGGAGGAUGGACUGCCGUCGCCGUGCCGUCGCCGCUCAGAAGAACCCUCUGCCCUGGCAACCCGUUGGAGGUAGAGAACCUCAGAAAGGCACCGAAAGGUGGAGAACAACGCCGGAGAACCCCCUCCGAUGAUCUGGAGAUGACCGGAGCUCGUUGCCGCCGCCACUGCCUUGAACCCUACUUCUGCGACCGCUCAAGCAAGGAAUCAACGAAGAAAUGGAGGAAGGAGACUCA